AAAAAGGUUCUUAAAUCUGGAAAAGGAAAGGUUGAAGAACCACCAAUGUUUCCAAUAAAGUCAUA
rfam:Equus caballus chromosome 27, whole genome shotgun sequence.